CCCAACAGGAAGCUGCCUGCAAAUUCAGGUAGCUUUUCUGAUUCUUACCGAGGUCUUGAAUAUACUUUCAGAGAAAUGUCAGCAAAAACUAUAGUCAUUUGGAGAAGAACAAGUCUGGAAGAAAAAUACACAGAGGACUAGCACCAAGAGGAUCAAUAACCACAAAGAUAAGCUUCUUCUGGUUAACUGGCAAAAAGCCUGGAUGGGAGAAUUUUCCUCUUCUGGGAUUCAAACAAGUGUCUAUAACCUACAGCAGUGAGAACUGGUCCAUAUACAUCCUAGAAGACCACGCUUAGCAGUAAGUUAAAGGAACAAAGCUAAGGACUUUGUAUUUGCUGUGUAACAAAUCACCUCAAAACGUGAUGGCUUCAAACAACAAUCGUAGAGCAUUGCUCACAAGUCUAAAGGACUGUGCAAACAAGUAAAUAAAUUUUGAAUAAUGAAAAGCAGAUUUCUUACUGUCAGAGAAAGGAGUUACAAAUAAGAAAAAGUAUAACCAACAACUUGAUGAAUCCUGCUAUAAGGUCCUAAAAAGGGAGCUCACUCAGGAGGUCUGAUGUGAUGGAUGCUCGCCAGGGAAGUUCUGCGCAUGCGUGGCACCAUUUCCCGAGAACACCCGUGGUAGGUCACGCCUGAUCUCUACUUCUACGGCGAUCCUGAAGAGAUUGAAAAGGAAGAGCAGGCCACUGCUGAAAAGGCUGUGACCAAGGCAGAAUUGAAUUUCAGGGUGACUGGACGGCUCCAGCUCCUGAGUUCACUGCUACUCAGCCUGAAGUCGCAGACUGGUCUGAAGGCGUGCAGGGGUCCUCGGUGCCUAUUCAGCAAUUCCCUACUGAAGACUGGAGCGCCCAGCCGGCCACUGAAGACUGGUCUGCAGCUCCCACUGCUCAGGCCACUGAAUGGGUAGGAACAACCACUGAGUGGUCUUAAGCUGCUCUUCCACAAAGGCAAACAAAAUGGAAAUAGAAAUGGAAAAGGCUGACGGAAAAUAAACAGUUUGCAAAA